UGGGGCAGCUCCUUUCCUUCCAGCCAGCUGUUGGAGUGGCCACACUGCUGGUGUUUCUGACCGGGGAUCCUGCUGCUUCCAUGGGUUCUGUCUGUUUCUUUUUGUUUCUUUUCCUUUGGCGCUGUGACUGGGCUUGCUGGCUUGCUUCUCUGCUGCUUGGGAGCCCAGAGCCGGUGCGUGCCGUGCCAGGAGCGGGAGCAUCCCGUUCCCCACCAGGGGCUGCCUCCUCUGCACAAAUCCAGAGCCCAGGACCAGGCACUGCUGGAUUUCUUAUUUUCAAAGCUUGGUCAGAUGGAGAAGGAGGCUGCGAGGAAGAUGCCCUGGGACACUGAGGCAGAAUAGGAGCGGAGGAUGGAGAGCAGGGAGGACAAAUCCCCGCAGCAGGACCUUGUGGAGGAGGCCGUUUUGAGCGAUUCUGUAGUGCAGGAAUCCAACGGGAAGGAAAAGCCCCAGAGAUCCCGCACGAGGAAGGGCUGCAAACCCAGCCCUGGCAUCUGUGAGGAGGAAAGACCCUCCCUGUGCCAGGAGGGUGGACAGAGCUUCAGCCAGAGCUCAGACAUGGUCACUGAGCACCAUCGAAGCAGGGAGAAGUCAUACAAGUGUGGGGAAUGUGAGAGGAGCUUCAGCCACAUCUCCAACCUGAAGAAACACCAGAGGAUCCACACUGGGGAGAAGCCCUACAAGUGUAGGGAAUGUGGGAAGAGCUUCAGCCGUAGCAACAACCUGGCCCGUCAUGAGAAUACUCAUGAUAAUGAAAGGCCUUGCAAGCGCUCUGAACGUGGGAAGAGCUUUAGAGAGACAUUCAAACUAAACCAGCACAAGAUAAAUUGCUCUGGGGAACAGCCCUAUGUGUGUGAGGAAUGUGGGAAGAACUUCAGCCAGAAAUCCAACCUGCUCCGCCACCAGAAGAUCCACACUGGGGAGAGGCCCCACAAAUGUCCCAAAUGUGGGAAGAGCUUCAGCCAGAGCACCCACUUGGAUGUCCACCAGUGCAUUGACACCAGGGAACAGCCCAACAACUGUGAGAAAUGUGGGAAGAGCUUCAGGAAGAUUCACAACCACCUGUGUGUGGAAAUCAGGAUAUGUGACAGCUACAAGUGCUGGACAUGUGAGAAGAGCUUCAACCAGAGGUCCCACCUAAUAGUCCACAUGCGCAUCCACACUGGGCAGCAGCCCUACAGGUGUGAGGAGUGUGGGAUGAGCUUCAGCGAUCGCUCCAACCUGAACCACCACCGGCAGACCCACACUGGGGCACGGCCCUACCUGUGUGAGCAGUGUGGGAAGAGCUUCCCCAGGGGCUCUCACUUGUCCCAGCACCGACAGAGGCACUGCCACGGUGGGCGAAGGCAGAGGCGGAAUCCAAAGACUGAUGUCACCUUUGUAGCUGAAAACUGAGACCUUCUUUCAACCUUUAAAAUAUGAAUUAGGAAAACACUGGGUGAUGCAUCACUCACCCUAUUUGCCAAAUGCUUCUAAGAAGGAUCUGUUGGAAUUUUGCAAAGUGUGGAGAAUAACAGAUAGUUGAGGAUGGUUUACUGAAUUAAAUUUUAAAAAUACCUUCUGCAUCCCUGUGAAUAAGAAAGGCCAAGGACUGAGCGAAGGAAAGAAUGUAAAAAUAUGGACUAAUUCUGAAUAUGCAUUUAAUGUUUUCGGUGAGGUCAUCUGGAAAGAGAGAGGACUGGCAACUGUUCAAGGCCUGGAAUUGAACACACUGAACAGACCCAUCCACUGCUAGAGAGUAUUAAGGAGUCUGGAGAAGCAGCCUUUAUACAUUGCAAGAUUCAUCAAAAUGGGGAAGCAACUCUUGAGUUAGAGAAUCUUUUUGUUGAUAAAAUAGUAAAAGAAGCAAGAAAAAGGAUCUUAACAGUGGUGCUACAGAAGGAAAUCAGUUUGACAAGGUUUGCCCCAAAAUGUGAUCACCAGAGCCAUCAGUUUUCUGGCACAAAGGUUGAAAUCAAGGAAAGUGAAUGGACUGUUACACCAGAGGGGCAGACUGUAGUCCCACCUCAGCGAGAACAUAAAAAACACUUGCAGGGGAACAAGAAACCUUUUGAAACAUUAAGAAAGCAGUAACAGAAAGGGAAAAAAACUGAUAUUGUACAAUCUGUAACAAAUGUGAAAUCUUCUCUGGAACCCACCCAAACAUGAGCAAAAGAGUUGUGUUAGAAAUAUCAGAGGCAGGGGGUUCUCCUGGACAUUGUUGGCAAAUAAAUUCUGAGUUACCAACCAGAAAGGAUACAGAGCCAUUUGAAGCUGCUCCAGAGCGGGACCUGGGGAAUCACCUAGAGCUCAGACCCUGCAGCCUUUGCCAGCGCCAGAGGGACCGAGAACGGAGUGACCACCCACCAGAGACACUUUCUGAAUUUGUCAUCUCUUCAGAGCAGCAAGGUUGCCAGCUUGCUUCUCUGCUGCUCUGCCACUUGAGAGCCCAGGGCUGGUGUGCUGGGAGCUGGGAGCACCCCUUCCCCUACCAGGCUGCUCCCUUUGCGUGGUGACCCAGCCUCAGGACCGGACAUCACCAGUGAGCCGUGCAAAGGAGAAAUCUCCCACCCAGCCGCUGCUGUUUUCUGCCACUGCUUAAUUAAGGGUUUUUUGCUACACUAGUGCAACACCCUGCAUCCCUCAGGACAGCCCGCUGCUUCUGCUUCUGCUUCUGCCACCGCUCCAGGGUUAGUGCUACACUUUCAUUCACCGCCCCCGGGGAUCUGCUCCCCUCUGUUCCAGCUGACACUCCGAGGUUCCUGCUGCCGUCCAUUUGCCCCUGCAGUGGCGCUGAGGCCGGCUGCUCGCCAUGGCUCUGGCGAAAGCAGCCCCUUUCUCCCCGUGCCGCCCCCACAGCCGCCAUGGCCGGGGCAGAGGCCUCUGAGCCCGCGCCACAGCGCCCCCUGCAGCCACGGAACGGGCAUCGCCCCGCCCUGCCUGCCUGCCGGGGAGCCCCCAGCGCCCCUGCUGGCCGUGCCCGGAACUGCACCCAUAGGGAGGUCCUUGACAGCCCCUGCCCUGCCCUGCCUGAGAGCCCCCAGCGCCCCUGCUGGCCGUGCCCGGAACUGCACCCAUGGGGAGGUCCUUGACAGCCCCU